CUCUGUUUCAGCAAAUGAUUCAGGGCAUUAAGGAG
rnacentral:ncRNA from 1 species